GCACAGGUGUCGGCCAGCAGGUGGGGAAGCCCCAGGGUGCUCUGGCUUCCGUGCCUGCCCGAGGUUACCAGGUGGCUAAGUCCAGAAGGUGUGGGUGUUGGGGCUGAGCCCAGGCCAAUGCCAUCUGGCCACCUCAAGGACUGCGCUUGAGAGAACUGUCCCACCCCAGCCAGGACAAGCAGUGCUGGGGCUGAUCAGACCCCCGAGUACCUGUCGGGAGGACAACGGGGAAUAAAAGAAAGAGACAGAGGCAAUGUUCAAGGCACAAGGGGAACCAGGAGGAAUCUGCCUCUAGUGGACGGCACGCCGCAGUGGGCCCACUUUUUUUAGUCAGUAAGAGGUGCAGGGGAGGGAUAGUGUACUUUUCUGGAAAUAGCAACUGCAGUAAGAUUAGGGUAGUAAAAUAGGGAACAGGUUUAGCAUCUCAAAGGGAGCAAGUUGAGGUCCUUCCCCAUACCUGGAGGCCUGGAUUUUGUAUCGCGCUCAGCAGGUGCUAUCUUGCCCAGGAGUGCUGUGAUUACAGCUUUCCUGCACACCCAGCAAGUCUGCAAUCUUCUGCACAUUUCUCUGCUCCUGAGGCAAGUCCACCCUGGCCUGAGACUGAGGGCCUAUAGCCUGGCCCCCACCAAUCUGGACGUAACUGCCUGGUGGAGGCGGGAAGGGAACCUGCCGGAGUCUCCAGCCGGAAGCCCAUCUGCUCUCCUCAGGAUGCUCUAGAACCUUCUGUCCUCAGACAGCGUCUCACUCUGGGCCUCAGAUUGCCUUGGAUGGACCCUCCUGCCACGGGCUCCCGAAUGCUGGGAUUACAGGCGUGCACCACCACCCCCUAGACAGACACUUUGCUUCUUACAGGCAGGGUCUUGCUAUGUCAUUCACACUGGCCUUGAACUCACUGUGUAGCCCAGGCUGGCCUGGAACUUGCAGAGAUUCUCCUGCCUCAGCCUCCCGAGUGCUAGGAUUACAGGUGAACAUCACCACACCUGGCUUCAGAACUUGAUAUUUUCAGACGCAAAUUCACAGCAGCAGCUGGUGUGGGGCCGCUGGCCCUUCUGCUCCCGUGCCCACCCUGCACACUGCAGCGUGCUCUGCUCUGUGGGAUAUUUCUUCAGGUUUGCAGUGUCUGAUCUCCGCUCGGAGGGGAAGUUCCCUCCCAUUCCUCUUUGGUGUGGGGGUGAUGGCCCAGGCAGCGAGAGACCCCUACCCACCUGCUUACAAGCCCCACAGCAGUGAACACAUUUAACAUUUAUUUUAGAUUCCCACGCCAAAUGUACUCGCUGCCCAUUGGCAACAAAAGGGUUAAAACAUGAAAGGGUGGCAGGCCCAUUCAGACCUCUGUGUCCCUUCUCCUCUGAAGCUAAUAGGCUUCUGUAAGCCAGGGGAAAUGGUCUUGCCAAAGUUGUAACAGCAAGCAUACAGUUUUAAACAUAACACAGAUGUUCCCUGGAAGAUCUAUAAGGUGCUAAAUGACCCAGGCAUUCUUUAGAUAAUCACGUUUGCUAUCUAGACCCUUUUCCCACAUCCUCCAGCCCUUCUAAAAACCCCAGUCUCUCACCCAACUGCAGUUCCUCUUCUGCUGUUUCUCUUGGCACCACAGCCUGCUCUAAUAAACUUGUCUUUUCUA